GUGGCUUUGUGGUUAGAGUAUUCGAUUCACGAUCGUAAGAUCUUGAGUUCGAUUCCCAGC
rnacentral:tRNA from 1 species